rnacentral:rRNA from 1 species
UACAGAGGUCUCAAGCGUUGUUCGGAUUCAUUGGGCGUAAAGGGUGCGUAGGCGGCGCGGUAAGUCGGGUGUGAAAUCUCGGGGCUUAACUCCGAAACUGCAUUCGAUACUGCCGUGCUUGAGGACUGGAGAGGAGACUGGAAUUUACGGUGUAGCGGUGAAAUGCGUAGAUAUCGUAAGGAAGACCAGUGGCGAAGGCGGGUCUCUGGGCCGUAACUGACGCUGAGGAGCGAAAGCAUGGGGAGCGAACAGG